UACGAAGGGGGCUAGCGUUGCUCGGAAUCACUGGGCGUAAAGCGCACGUAGGCGGGUCUUUAAGUCAGGGGUGAAAUCCUGGAGCUCAACUCCAGAACUGCCUUUGAUACUGAGGAUCUCGAGUCCGGAAGAGGUGAGUGGAACUGCGAGUGUAGAGGUGAAAUUCGUAGAUAUUCGCAAGAACACCAGUGGCGAAGGCGGCUCACUGGUCCGGUACUGACGCUGAGGUGCGAAAGCGUGGGGAGCAAACAGG
rnacentral:rRNA from 1 species